rnacentral:rRNA from 1 species
UACGAGGGGGGCAAGCGUUGUUCGGAAUUAUUGGGCGUAAAGCGUGCGUAGACGGUUACAUAAGUCGGGUGUGAAAGCCCCGGGCUCAACCUGGGAAUUGCAUUCGAGACUGCGUAGCUAGGGUGCGGAAGAGGGAAGCGGAAUUUCCGGUGUAGCGGUGAAAUGCGUAGAUAUCGGAAGGAACACCAGUGGCGAAAGCGGCUUCCUGGUCCAGCACCGACGUUCAGGCACGAAAGCGUGGGGAGCAAACAGG